rnacentral:rRNA from 1 species
GUAGGUGGCAAGCGUUGUCCGGAAUUAUUGGGCGUAAAGCGCGCGCAGGCGGUCCUUUAAGUCUGAUGUGAAAGCCCACGGCUCAACCGUGGAGGGUCAUUGGAAACUGGGGGACUUGAGUACAGAAGAGGAAAGCGGAAUUCCAAGUGUAGCGGUGAAAUGCGUAGAGAUUUGGAGGAACACCAGUGGCGAAGGCGGCUUUCUGGUCUGUAACUGACGCUGAGGCGCGAAAGCGUGGGGAGCAAACAGGAUUAGAUACCCUGGUAGUCCACGCCGUAAACGAUGAGUGCUAAGUGUUAGGGGGUUUCCCGCCCCCCUUAGUGCUGCAGCUAACGCAUUAAGCGCUCCGCCUGGGGAGUACGGCCGCAAGGCUG